rnacentral:rRNA from 1 species
UACACACCGCCCGUCACACCAUGGAAGUCUGCUGCACCAGAAGUAGGUAGUCUAACCGCAAGGGGGGCGCCUACCACGGUGUGGCCGAUGACUGGGGUA